CAGUAGCCACGGUAAUACGUAGGUGGCAAGCGUUGUCCGGAAUUAUUGGGCGUAAAGGGCGCGUAGGCGGGCGAAUCAGUCAGGGGUGAAAUCCCAAGGCUCAACCUUGGAACUGCCUUUGAUACUGUUUGUCUUGAGUACAGGAGAGGAAAGCGGAAUUCCCAGUGUAGCGGUGAAAUGCGUAGAUAUUGGGAGGAACACCAGUGGCGAAGGCGGCUUUCUGGACUGCAACUGACGCUGAGGCUCGAGAGCCAGGGGAGCGAACGGGAUUAGAUACCCGAGUAGUCCCUGUCUCUUAUAC
rnacentral:rRNA from 1 species